AUGGUAACGUCUCUGCCACCAGUCGGUGAGUGUAACUUGCUGACGGUCCCUAAAACAGGUAGCAGCCAGAACGUAAAUGACGUUGUUUCACAGACAUCGAUGGCGCCAACAUGUGUUUGUGAUUUUUCGCGAUACGGUGUCCUAAACCGUCCUCAACAUACUAAGCCCGUAAUUAUGGAAGGGGAGAUUUGGAGGUACCUGGUCAGGUCUUGGUCAGCCUUCAAAUCCCAGAUGUGGAGACUGCAGGGAUACCUCACAGAGAAGACACUAAAGAGUCAUCUCUCAUUCAUCGAGUGGACUCAUUGGUUUGCGAAUGACCACAAAGAUGCUCCCAUAGGCAGAUUGCUGCAUGGCAUUCACCGCUUAUUCAAAUUGAAGAGGUUGAAGCAGUCUUCCUUGUGGUCACUUGCCAUAACAAUGUCAUGUGUUUUAUGAAAACAGCAUCAGUAACAUUUAAAUUGAGUUGAUGUGGACGGCUCUUUUUUUUGUCCGAUUUCUUCAGUGUUCAGUGCCCGUUUGUGAGAUAUGCAUUGUUUGAAAGAUAAGCCUUUGAUUUUGUUUAAUUUUAAUAUGCCUUUUAAUAUUUUAAUAACAGUGGUUUGGGGUUUUAUAACAACAAUUAAAGUGCUUAACUACUGGUGAACGAUGUUGCAGAACAUAUAUGGUUUGUGUUGAUUGCAUGGAAAAGGGAAUAACCAGUUACAACUUAUAUGGUAAGAGCCUGGUAAUACCAUGGAAACAAACUAGGCUUCCUUUUACAGUACAGUUUCAGCUUACUUACUGGGUAAAUUGUCGUGUUUUACUAGGUAACGUCGCAGAACGUACAUGGUACAAGUUUGUGUUGACUGCAUGGAAAAGGGAAUAAUGUAUUACAAAUUAUAUGGUAAGAACCUGGUAAUACCAUGGAAAUAAACGAGGCUUCCUUUUACAGUAAUGUUUCAGCUUAAUUACUGGGUAAAUUGUCGUGUUUUACUUGGUAACGUCGCAGAACGUACAUGGUACAUGUUUGUGUUGACUGCAUGGAUAAUGGAAUCUAUUAUAAAUUAUAUGGUAAGAACCUGGUAAUACCAUGGAAACAAACGGCUUUGUACCCAGUAUUUAAGAAGAUGUACCAUGACACUAGAGGAAAACUGUUCCUGCAGAGGUUGUUACCAGGUAAGUAAUUCCAUAGUGGUAAAUCGAAUAAACCCUUUCUAAAUGGAUGUAGCUAUGAAUAAUAACUAAGAAAAAGUAUUUUAUUGGAAAGCACUAUGCUAAUUCCUAGAUACAUCAUUAAAUUUGGGCUGUUACCAACAUAAACCUUGGAUAAUAGGUGUUUAUAAGAAUUGGUUGCCUAAUUUCCUAGGAAGUACACAAUAUCUGAGUUAUUACCAACCUAAAACAGUUACAACUACACGCUACUUAGUUGAGUUGAUGGGUAAUAGUGGAGGUUUUACUUAGUACUUCAGCAUUAAUUCCUCUGUAUUUACCUUCUUAUUACCAGUGGUAAUUACACAGUAAUACACUAUAAUUUACCGGAUAAUUCCUCUGUAUUUACCUUCUUAUUACCAGUGGUAAUUACCCAGUAAUACACUAUGAUUUACCAUGUAUUUACCGGGUAACUACCUCUGUAUUUACCUUCUUAUUACCAGUGGCAAUUACCCAGUAAUACACUAUGAUUUUAUGUUUUUUUUUUAUUUUUACAUGGUACAAGUUUGUGUUGACUGCAUGGAAAAGGGAAUAAUGUAUUACAAAUUAUAUGGUAAGAGCCUGGUAAUACCAUGGAAACAAACUAGGCUUCCUUUUACAGUACAGUUUCAGCUUACUUACUGGGGUAAAUUGUCGUGUUUUACUAGGUAACGUCGCAGAACGUACAUGGUACAAGUUUGUGUUGACUGCAUGGAAAAGGGAAUAAUGUAUUAUAAAUUAUAUGGUAAGAACCUGGUAAUACCAUGGAAACAAACGGCUUUGUACCCAGUAUUUAAGAAGAUGUACCAUGACACUAGGGGAAAACUGUUCCUGCAGAGGUUGUUACCAGGUAAGUAAUUCCAUAGUGGUAAAUCGAAUAAACCCUUUCUAAAUGGAUGUAGCUAUGAAUAAUAACUAAGAAAAAGUAUUUUAUUGGAAAGCACUAUGCUAAUUCCUAGAUACAUAAUUAAAUUUGGGCUGUUACCAACAUAAACCUUGGAUAAUAGGUGUUUAUAAGAAUUGGUUGCCUAAUUUCCUAGGAAGUACACAAUAUCUGAGUUAUUACCAACCUAAAACAGUUACAACUACACGCUACUUAGUUGAGUUGAUGGGUAAUAGUGGAGGUUUUACUUAGUACUUCAGCAUUAAUUCCUCUGUAUUUACCUUCUUAUUACCAGUGGUAAUUACACAGUAAUACACUAUAAUUUACCGGAUAAUUCCUCUGUAUUUACCUUCUUAUUACCAGUGGUAAUUACCCAGUAAUACACUAUGAUUUACCAUGUAUUUACUGGGUAACUACCUCUGUAUUUACCUUCUUAUUACCAGUGGCAAUUACCCAGUAAUACACUAUGAUUUACCAUGUAUGUACCGGGUAAAUACCUAGUAAUUAGGGGACUGUAAAAGGAAGGGUUACCUGCUUAUUUUGUCCUUUCUGUGUGUGUGUGUGUGUGUGUGUGUGUGUGUGUGUGUAUGGGGGGGUGGGUAUUUCCCUCUACCCUCUCCUUCAAUAGAUGAGGAAAUGUAUAUGGAUUUAAGAAAUCACACUAUGUACUAACAUUUUAUUACAGUGGACGUUGGCAUACUGACUUUAAUAUUA
ensembl:lncRNA